rnacentral:rRNA from 1 species
CCCUUAGAUGUUCUGGGCCGCACGCGUGCUACACUGAGUGGAUCAGCGGGUCAGGUUGCGCGAAAGUGUUUCCUAAUCUUGAAAUCCGCUCGUGAUGGGGAUUGACGGUUGCAAUUUUCCGUCAUGAACGAGGAAUACCUUGUAAGCGCGGGUCAUCAUCCCGCGCUGAAUACGUCCCUGCCCUUUGUACACACCGCCCGUCGCUCCUACCGAUUGAGUGGUCCGGUGAGGCUUUGGGAUCUGAGCAAAGAGAGCGUUUCGCUCGUUUUGCCCGGAAAACUCAGUCGAACCUUAUCAUUUAGAGGGAGGAGAAGUCGUAACA